UACGGAGGGUGCAAGCGUUGUUCGGAUUUACUGGGCGUAAAGCGCGCGCAGGUGGGGUGUACAAGUCGGAAGUGAAAUCCCAGGGCUCAACCCUGGGGCUGCUCCCGAAACUGUACGCCUAGGGACUGGUAGAGGCUGGUAGAAUUCCCGGUGUAGCGGUGGAAUGCGUAGAGAUCGGGAAGAAUACCCGUGGCGAAGGCGGCCAACUGGACAGAUACUGACGCUGAGACUCGAAAGCGUGGGGAGCAAACAGGGAUUAAGAA
rnacentral:rRNA from 1 species